GAGAAUCCAAACUUUGGGCACUUUUAAUUAUUGUAAUUGAACAUGAAAAUAUUUUAAUAAGCUACAUUUACAUUAAAAUUACAUGAAAAAAUAUUCUAAAAAAAACGAAAAGGCAAAACGUUUGGCAUCGCUUUUUAAGCAGAGGGACACACCAAAGUUCCUCAUUCGACUUCAAACCACAUAGACCGUCUGGAUCACUUGUUAUCCCUUGUUCACUAUUUUGCAAACUUUUCUCUCUCUUCUUAUUCUUCUUCUUCAACAAUCCCUUCUCUGCUAGUGUUUUCAGAUUUUGCUUUUUUCCGUUCUUUUGCUUUCUCCUCAAAGCCAUCGUCCAUCAUCUUCAUUGGUUAUGAUAAGAUCACAACGUUCUUUUGCAAAACGUUUGGCAUAUCUGCUAAUUAUAAUUUAUGAUAAGAUCUUUAUUCAUUGGUUAUGCCUAAUAAUGAAAAGCUACAUCCACCUCAUCAUCACUACCCCUGGACUCCCUAGAAUUAACCUAUACAUAUGCAGCAAGGGUUCCUUAAGGACGCCUUUACACUCAAAUUCCUCUAGUUGUUUCCCAAGAAUAGCUUCUAUCUCGUAUUGUUCUGCAAAUUUAACAUCACAAAGUUAAGCAAUGUGCAAUCCAAAAACAAGCACACAACAAGGUCUUCACUAGUUCAGAAUUGGAUAAAGCUCUAUGUACACCAAUUUGCAUCAUGCGCUCAGUGUAACACAAUUCUGACACGUACAAAGCAGGCAAAUAUGCAUACACAGGGAUAAUAAAUUUCAAUCCUGUCAAUUAAAUACAGACAUACUGGAGCUUUCAGAUUAAGUGCCCUCAUAAGGGGAAGGUGUAAAAUUGUGGUAGUCAACUUACAAUCGGCUUCAAUUACGUGCAUGUAGCUUGUAACUGGAAAGAACCAUGCCAAUGAUAAAACUGCAAAAGGAGGAGGUAUCAAACAGAUGUGAAAUCAUUCUCAAUCCCUUAAAGUUGAGAUACAAUCUACUGUCUACUUCACGUCACAAAUUAUGCGAAAUUUAAGACUAAUUGAUUACCCCAACAAAUGCAGUCACAAGGAAAAAAAAACAUCUUAAUGGAUUGGCUUCUAAAUAUUUUAAUAUCUACGCCAAACAGUAUAAGUAUGUUCAAAGGAUUAAUAAUACAACGAUGCAUGCAAAAUCAGACACCUGAAGAAAGAGAAGCAAAUCAUUGGGGGAUUAUUCAUAUUCACAUUCAUCCAUUUACUAUUCUUUUGUCAUUAUUGCUAGUGCAAAGUCAAACAAACAAAUAAAUGUUAAGACACAGUGAACACAUAUGCCUAGACCAGUAGACCCUAGUAAUAUAGAAUAUAAUUUCAAAGAUACUUUUAUAUUUGACGUUGCCACCUCUGCUACAGGCCCAAAAUAGCAGUCCAAAAAAAAAUUUACAAUCUACGAAUAUUAUCUUGCAAGCCUCCGCUGUUUACCUCAGCAACAAAACUCACAACCAUUUGUCCUCUGCCUGCUCUAGCAGAAUGCCCUACACGAUGAACAUAAUCUCUGGGAUAGAUGCAAAAAACUAGCAGUUAAAAUCCAUUUCACAGAAAUUUUCAAAGUAAGAAUAAAGAUAUUUUGAUAGGUAUAACUUUGGAAUAUCAUAAUUGAUAACAAGAUCAAAAGUAGGAGCGUACAACUGGCAACAUCAGUUGCAAUCAAUACAGAAGCUUGUCCAGAUUUGAAACGGUGUACAGCAGAAAGUCUCAAAGACUGAGAUUUGAAUGAAUGCAAUGCUGCUGCUUCCUGAUCAGGCUCUUCCAGUGAUAAACUCAAAAGGUGAUAACUUCUGCUUCCACAUUACAGAGAUGAAUGGGCAAAGAGUAAAUAUCAACAUCUUGAAGCAAUGAGUUUGCAGAAACUAAUUUUUCUUCCAAAUGCAAGCCAAUCUACUACCACAAAUCAGACCAUCAAAAUUCUAUAGUACUAUAUGCCCAGUAGUAGAAAUCCCCUUUUUCCCCCAUUUUGCUUUUUACUAUGUACAGCCAAAAAAUAAUUAGAAAAUGAUUUAGCAGGCCUAUAUCUUCUUGAAGAUGUAAUCCUAAACCAGGUUGAUUAAUAAAUGAUCUAUAAUAUAGCUGCGUCUUAACUAGUAUGGAAGACCCAAUUGAAUUGAGUUAUAGAACAGAUGCCAUUUUAGAGAGAUUACCAUGGCAAACAAAGGAUUGCAUAUGAAAAAAAUCAACAUGUUAUUUGUCAUCCAAUGUACCAGCUACAAAUGCCAUGUUUUAGCAUGAAUUUUGACACAAGAAAUAAGCAAAGAACACAAAUGCAACAAGUACUACAAAUAUAGGAUUAGAAUGAAUAAACAAUGAGAAGAAAUUCAGAUUGAGGAACAUAUACCUGCAGGUAGACACAAAUAUCAUGGCAGAUCGAAUACCCAUAUCUUCCAUUUUAGACAAAAUGUGAACAAGAUAAACAUCCUUCACAUUCUUAGGGAUGAAAACAUACUGCUGUUUAAGAGUGUCAACUGUCUUGAAGCCUUCAUAGGCCUCAUAGAAAUAUGCCUUAUUUGCAGAAAGCUCAAGUAGCGUUUCCAAGUUACUUGUCAUUGUUGCAGAAAACAAUAGAGUUUGCCGGUUUUUUGGUAAGCAAUGAAACACUGCUCUUAAUUCUUCUUGAAAUCCAACAUCCAGAACUCUAUCAGCUUCAUCCAAAACGAGGAACUUGGUUCUAGAGAAGACAGGAGGGAUAUCAGGAUUCUCC
rnacentral:misc_RNA from 1 species